CCUACGGGAGGCUGCAGUGAGGAAUAUUGGUCAAUGGACGAGAGUCUGAACCAGCCAAGUAGCGUGAAGGAUGACUGCCCUAUGGGUUGUAAACUUCUUUUAUAUGGGAAUAAAACGUUCCACGUGUGGGAUUUUGUAUGUACCAUAUGAAUAAGGAUCGGCUAACUCCGUGCCAGCAGCCGCGGUAAUACGGAGGAUCCGAGCGAUAGUCGGAUUGAUUGGGUUGAAAGGGACCGUAGGAGGGUUGUGAAGUGAGUGGUGAAAGUUAGCGGAUAAACCGUAAAAUUGCAGUUGAAACUGGCAUUCUUGAGGACAUUAUAGGUGGACGGACUGCGUGGUGUAGCGGUGAAAUGCUUAGAC
rnacentral:rRNA from 1 species